GAUGAACGCUGGCGGCGUGCCUAAUACAUGCAAGUCGAGCGAACAGACGAGGAGCUUGCUCCUCUUACGUUAGCGGCGGACGGGUGAGUAACACGUGGAUAACCUACCUAUAAGACUGGGAUAACUUCGGGAAACCGGAGCUAAUACCGGAUAAUAUAUUGAACCGCAUGGUUCAAUAUUGAAAGACGGUUUUGCUGUCACUUAUAGAUGGAUCCGCGCCGCAUUAGCUAGUUGGUAAGGUAACGGCUUACCAAGGCAACGAUGCGUAGCCGACCUGAGAGGGUGAUCGGCCACUCUGGAAGUGAGACACGGUCCAGACUCCUACGGGAGGCAGCAGUAGGGAAUCUUCCGCAAUGGGCGAAAGCCUGACGGAGCAACGCAGCGUGAGUGAUGAAGGUCUUCGGAUCGUAAAACUCUGUUAUUAGGGAAGAACAAAUGUGUAAGUAACUAUGCACGUCUUGACGGUACCUAAUCAGAAAGCCACGGCUAACUACGUG
rnacentral:rRNA from 1 species